rnacentral:rRNA from 1 species
CAGCAGCCGCGGUAAUACCAACAGUUCGAGUCGCAGCCACAAUUAUUGGGUCUAAAAACAUCCGUAGCUUGUUUUGCAAGUCUCUUGUGAAAUCCUAUGUCUUAAAUAUGGGUCGUGCAAGAGAUACUGCGUUGCUAGAGACUGGAAGGCGUAAGGAGUAUGGAUAGAGUAGCAGUAAAAUGCUUUGAUCCUAUCUAGACUAACGACAGCGAAGGCACCUUACGAGUACAGUUCUGACAGUGAGGGAUGAAGGCUAGGGUCGCGAAAGGGAUUAGAUACCCCUGUAGUCCUAGCAGUAAACACUGCACACUAAACAUCGGUAUCUCCUCGAGAGGCAUCGGUGCUGCAGGGAAGCCGAAGAGUGUGCUACCUGGGAAGUAUAGUCGCAAGGCCGAAACUUAAAGGAAUUGGCGGGGGGGCACUACAACGGGUGACGCGUGCGGUUCAAUUAGAUUCUACACCGUGAACCUCACCAGGAUCGACAGCAGAAUGAAGGUCAGUCUGAAGGGCUUACCUGACACGCUGAGAGGAGUUGCAUGGCCGACGUCAGCCUGUGUCGUGAGAUGACCUGUUAAAUCAGGUAACAGGCGAGACCCAUGUGUAUAGUUACUCUAUGAGCUCACUAUAUAGACUGCUGUGGUAACACAGAGGAAGGUAUGGGCUACGUUAGGUGAGUACUGCCCGAAUGUCCUGGGCUACACGCGCGCGUCAAUGCUGCAUUCAAUGAGAUGCAACUCUGAAAAGAGAAGCUAAUCUUAAAUAUCCAGCUUAGUUUAGAUUGAAGCUUGCAACCCAGCUUCAUGACACCGGAAUCCGUAGUAAUCGUUUAUUAGCAGUGAACGGUGAAUAAGUCCCUGCCCCUUGCACAC